CGGUGUUUAACUGGCGUGAUGUGGGACGUCCUACCGGUGGGCUUAGCCUCGCGAGGGGCGGCCCAACUAAUAUCCCGUCGCGGUGCUCUUUACUGAGUGUCGAGUCGGGCCGGUACGUUUACUUUGAACAAAUUAGAGUGCUUAAAGCAGGCUAUCCUCGCCUGAAUACUGCGUGCAUGGAAUAAUGGAAUAGGACCUCGGUUCUAUUUUGUUGGUUUUCGGAACCCCGAGGUAAUGAUUAAUAGGGACAGAUGGGGGCAUUCGUAUUGCGACGUUAGAGGUGAAAUUCUUGGAUCGUCGCAAGACGGACAGAAGCGAAAGCAUUUGCCAAAAAUGUUUUCAUUAAUCAAGAACGAAAGUUAGAGGUUCGAAGGCGAUCAGAUACCGCCCUAGUUCUAACCAUAAACGAUGCCAGCUAGCGAUCCGCCGAAGUUCCUCCGAUGACUCGGCGGGCAGCUUCCGGGAAACCAAAGCUUUUGGGUUCCGGGGGAAGUAUGGUUGCAAAGCUGAAACUUAAAGGAAUUGACGGAAGGGCACCACCAGGAGUGGAGCCUGCGGCUUAAUUUGACUCAACACGGGAAACCUCACCAGGCCCAGACACCGGAAGGAUUGACAGAUUGAUAGCUCUUUCUUGAUUCGGUGGGUGGUGGUGCAUGGCCGUUCUUAGUUGGUGGAGCGAUUUAUCUGGUUAAUUCCGAUAACGAACGAGACUCUAGCCUGCUAAAUAGGCGUACCUUAUGGUAUCGCGAAGGCCCCCGGCUUCGGCCGGUGGGUUUUUACUACCAACGUACAAACAAAUCUUCUUAGAGGGACAGGCGG
rnacentral:rRNA from 1 species